rnacentral:rRNA from 1 species
UACAGAGGUCUCAAGCGUUGUUCGGAUUCAUUGGGCGUAAAGGGUGCGUAGGUGGCGCCGUAAGUCGGGUGUGAAAUUUCGGAGCUUAACUCCGAAACUGCAUUCGAUACUGCGGUGCUUGAGGACUGGAGAGGAGACUGGAAUUCAUGGUGUAGCAGUGAAAUGCGUAGAGAUCAUGAGGAAGACCAGUGGCGAAAGGCGGGUCUCUGGACAGUUCCUGACACUGAGGCACGAAAGGCCAGGGGAGCAAACGGG